rnacentral:rRNA from 1 species
GACGAACUGUGCAAACGUUAUUCGGAAUCACUGGGCUUAAAGGGUGCGUAGGCGGUCUUGUAAGUAGGGUGUGAAAGCCCCCGGCUCAACCGGGGAACUGCGUCCUAAACUGCGAGGCUUGAGUGAGGUAGGGGUGUGUGGAACUUCCGGUGGAGCGGUGAAAUGCGUAGAUAUCGGAAGGAACGCCGGUGGCGAAAGCGACGUGCUGGACCUCUUCUGACGCUGAGGCGCGAAAGCUAGGGGAGCAAACGGG